ACAUGAAAAUCUGCUGCCCCCUACAAACGAGUAGUUCGAGAAACUCGAGUCUCAGAACUACAACUCCCAGAAUGCCACUGAACUAACUUCCUUUGGGGCCCUCACGUCCUAGUACAGGAAGUCCUAGAACUCGCUGUGUCGGCGUCUCCUCGGUUAUCGGGCAGAGACCGGGUGCUAAGGUCCAACUGCACAGACGGUGGAGCACUGAUAACUGACCCAUUGUCAGUAGCAUCUGAAGCCCACAAGCUGGAGGGAACUUGGUUAGGAGCCAGAUGGUUAGAAGGGGUUGAAGGAACAGACAUCCAUCUGCAGCAGUUCUCAGAUGGUACUUCCUUUGGGCAGAACAUGGCAGAUGGUGAACUAUUGUCUUCAAGACAAUUCAGACAAUCAUACCUGACGUCAAAAUGCAAAAAACACUGUCAGAUUAGUCCCAAGAGGUUCUACCUCAAAUAGAAAAAAUUGACUAAUCACAGUUUAGGGCUAGGCUAUCAUUAAUUUUCUCAUUUUCAAUAAUAGUUAACAAUGAGGACCUAGAAGGACAUCUUAUUUAUUCUUCAUUUAUAGUGUCAUACGUACAAUAAAUACAUAAAAAUUGACUCAGACCCCCCAGAAAAUGUUGGCUACUUGUAAGUUUCCAGACUAACAAAUGUCUGUAUCCCUUUGUUAACCCCUAAGUUAAAAUGGAAACCUUUGAAUAGAAUGUCUAUUGUUGUUCCAAAAAUGUAACUUCAAUACGUACUAUUCAUUAAAAUUUCACAGUCAUAAGUGAUAGCCAAAUUAUUUCAGUUAAAUCCACUUUUUACUAUAAACAAACUUGUAAGUUCCCUAUUUUGAUUAGUCAAACUUUAUCUCUUCAGCAUUUUACAGUGUGUCAAUUUACAGCAGGGCCAAUAAGAUUAAAACCUUUCCCAAAUAGAAAGUUCUAAAAACUUCACAGAUAAUGACAAUUUAAGAGGUCUUUGCAUCUUCUUUUUUUCUCCCCCAAACAGUAAAUUAUUACUACUUUUUAAAAGCAAAAUAUACCCAGUUAAGUACUUGUGUUUUCAAACAGUUUGAUCAUAUUCUUUAACACUGUGAGGGAUUUAGAAGACCCUGACCCAAAAUGACUACUCAGAAAUCAUUAAGUAGAAGGCAGAAAAGUUCUUUAUUGAAAACCUCCGGAGGAUGAGCUGUCCCAUCUUGAGAUAAGAAAGAGAAAGCUCGCGGUAGGAGGGCUAAAGAAGUAGUAAAGAUACAUAGCUUUUAUACAAGAAAUUACAUCACAAGUAAGAGAGCAUUGAGAAGGGGAGGGGGAGGCAUCUAAUUGGCUGUUGCUAUUUGGAGAGAUUGGAAUGGAAGUUUUCUGUUUCCCCGAAAUCUCCUGAUUUCUAGGAAACAGAAAAUCAGGCCUUCAGGCUUAAUCAAGCAGACAGUGGUCCAGCUAAUAGACUAAAUAUCAAUAAAUGUCAAAUACCGAUAAAUAUCAUCAGCUCGGGUUAAGUAAAUAUGUUUCUACCUGACCAAGGCUCAAGUAAAUAUGAACCUGCACAUAUUAUACAGGUCAGAGGGGAAACACAGAAAUAAUGAAAAUAAAAUACAGAAAAAGAAUUCAUACAUUCCUGUAAGUUCUUCACCUUAUCUCUCUCUAUACCAUACAACACUAUCCAGAUUAAAAGAAAAGUUACCUUUCUAAUAGCAUUUCCAAUGCAAUGGUUUCCCAAAUUUCAUAAUAUAGAGAACUUGAAUGUGUAACAAUACUACAGUAUUAUUGAUUCUUUAAAAAAAAAAAAACAAGAAAUUUUUUACCACA
rnacentral:lncRNA from 1 species